GAUCACUCCUACGGGAGGCAGCAGUGGGGAAUAUUGCACAAUGGGCGCAAGCCUGAUGCAGCCAUGCCGCGUGUGUGAAGAAGGCCUUCGGGUUGUAAAGCACUUUCAGUCGUGAGGAAGGUAGUGUAGUUAAUAGCUGCAUUAUUUGACGUUAGCGACAGAAGAAGCACCGGCUAACUCCGUGCCAGCAGCCGCGGUAAUACGGAGGGUGCGAGCGUUAAUCGGAAUUACUGGGCGUAAAGCGCAUGCAGGUGGUUUGUUAAGUCAGAUGUGAAAGCCCGGGGCUCAACCUCGGAAUAGCAUUUGAAACUGGCAGACUAGAGUACUGUAGAGGGGGUAGAAUUUCAGGUGUAGCGGUGAAAUGCGUAGAGAUCUGAAGGAAUACCGGUGGCGAAGGCGGCCCCCUGGACAGAUACUGACACUCAGAUGCGAAAGCGUGGGGAGCAAACAGGAUUAGAUACCCUGGUAG
rnacentral:rRNA from 1 species